UCCCUGGUGGUCUGGUGGUUAAGGCACCGCACUUCCACUGCAGGGGGCCCAGGUUCUAUUCCUGGUUGGCGAG
rnacentral:tRNA from 1 species